UACGUAGGGGGCUAGCGUUGUCCGGAAUCAUUGGGCGUAAAGCGCGUGUAGGCGGUCCGGUAAGUCCGCUGUGAAAGUCGAGGGCUCAACCCUCGAAUGCCGGUGGAUACUGUCGGGCUUGAGUACGGGAGAGGCGAGUGGAAUUCCUGGUGUAGCGGUGAAAUGCGCAGAUAUCAGGAGGAACACCGAUUGCGAAGGCAGGUCUCUGGGCAUUAACUGACGCUGAGGAGCGAAAGCAUGGGGAGCGAACAGG
rnacentral:rRNA from 1 species